rnacentral:rRNA from 1 species
GUAGGGGCNAAGCGUUGUCCGGAUUUAUUGGGCGUAAAGAGCUCGUAGGCGGUUGGGUAAGUCGGGUGUGAAAACUCUGGGCUCAACUCAGAGACGCCACCCGAUACUGCUCUGACUUGAGUCCGGUAGGGGAGUGGGGAAUUCCUGGUGUAGCGGUGAAAUGCGCAGAUAUCAGGAGGAACACCGGUGGCGAAGGCGCCACUCUGGGCCGGAACUGACGCUGAGGAGCGAAAGCGUGGGUAGCAAACAGGAUUAGAUACCCUGGUAGUCCACGCCGUAAACGUUGGGCACUAGGUGUGGGUCCUAACCAACGGGGUCCGUGCCGUAGCUAACGCAUUAAGUGCCCCGCCUGGGGAGUACGGCCGCAAGGUUA